rnacentral:ncRNA from 1 species
GAGCGAAGACAAACCGGCUACGCCGGUUUGAACAGCGCUUGCGCUGGCCCCGAAGGGGCGAGGCCUCAGGCCGAGUAAAGCCAACGCGCCUGCAAC